AGUGAACGCUGGCGGUAGGCCUAACACAUGCAAGUCGAACGGCAGCACAGUAAGAGCUUGCUCUUACGGGUGGCGAGUGGCGGACGGGUGAGGAAUACAUCGGAAUCUACUUUUUCGUGGGGGAUAACGUAGGGAAACUUACGCUAAUACCGCAUACGACCUACGGGUGAAAGCAGGGGAUCUUCGGACCUUGCGCGAGUGAAUGAGCCGAUGUCGGAUUAGCUAGUUGGCGGGGUAAAGGCCCACCAAGGCGACGAUCCGUAGCUGGUCUGAGAGGAUGAUCAGCCACACUGGAACUGAGACACGGUCCAGACUCCUACGGGAGGCAGCAGUGGGGAAUAUUGGACAAUGGGCGCAAGCCUGAUCCAGCCAUACCGCGUGAGUGAAGAAGGCCUUCGGGUUGUAAAGCCCUUUUGUUGGGAAAGAAAAGCAGCAGGUUAAUACCCCGCUGUUCUGACGGUACCCAAAGAAUAAGCACCGGCUAACUUCGUG
rnacentral:rRNA from 1 species